GUUUGCCAUUAGAGCUCGUACGGAACACAUCUCGUUUCGGGAAAAUAAAAAUGUGAAAAAAAAACACAAAAUUUUUAGUAAAACCCAAAAAAGUUUUGGAUUGCUUCGGUUCGCUUCGGUUCACUUCGGUUCAGAGGGACGCCCUUACAAAAAUGAAAUCAACCUGAUAAUACAUCCAAAUAACACAUAUAAUCACACAAUCUGAAUGAUGCUUCUACCGCACUGACCUAGUGAAUCCCGUUCACCAUUCCAUAUGUUAGUUGAUUGCUUGGCAACAAUCAAUUGCAUUACCAAACCAGAAAUACACGCCAUUGCUUUUUGUAACGACGUGAAAGCAAUGGCAACGGAUGCGAAGCAGCCGCUUAACACAAAAAAACUGGGAAACGAACACUUGAUGUUUGGCCAACGGGAUUACUAUGGUAUGCCCCUCAAAACGAAGGUAGAUGAUCGCAUCGUUUUGG